GAGCCUAAUUUGUCAUGCCUUGUCCUCCGUCUCCUUAGGCAAAGACAGUAACUCUAUUUGACCGGGAGGCCAUUGGUGGUGGCACAGGCAUUGUGGUAAACCAGCCAUCUGUGUUGGGAGGCCUUUGCAUUGGGAGGGUUUCUGGCCGCAGGAGGAAGCUCAGCUCCUUCUAUUGCUUGUCUGAGGUAAAUUGUUUUAGUCAUUGCAAUGAGCAGUUUGACUGAGGUCGGAAGCCAGGGCAUGUGUUUUCAAUCGGAAUCACAUGACUAGGACAUGAACACGCACUUCUCGCCAGCGAGACGGAAUGGAUUGUUCUCGAGUCUCCUCAGAACCUGACUCCGUCCAUUAAGCAAGAACCUUCAGGAGCCAAUCACGUCUUCAGAUUCUCCCCUCUGAACACAGCUUGCAUCUGAGUCUGCGCCUUCGAUAUAUAAGCCUUUGGAGGGACUUAAGCCGUUUGAUUCGUUGAGGUUCCAUUUGUCAACUGAACAGUUUUCUCCUGUGUCCUGGGAUCCGGUUUGUUGCAGACAAGAGCCCCCGCUGUCAUUAUUUUGGCACACGGUGGGGGAUGGGGUCAUGCUUUGACAAAGAUUUUAGUGACAAAAUGAGAAUGGAGUGACCCUGAGAGCAGGCUGAAAUACUGACGUGGGAGCUGUGGUGGUAAUGCCAACCCCUGAGGCCCCGAGAAGAGUCUAGCUUUCUAUCACCAAUUCCAAGGAUGAAUACAAAGCAACAGUAACCAAGGUGAACACUGAGAAUAUCCUACUCCAGGUGGAGAAAGAGUUCACAGAUAAAAGGACAGAGGACUGCGCUUCUGCAACAUUGUUGUGCUGUCUCUGUGUGGUGCUACCCUCCAAAAUAAGAAACUUGAAACAACUGACAUUCGUUUUUUCCUUUCCUGUGCACUGGGGUUGGACGUUGACAUUAAGCUGCUGGUUGAGCGAAAGUCACAACUCUAAGGACAGGGCUCACUCCCAGCUCUCUUAUGUGGCUGCAGGCUAAAGACUGGUCUCAGACCCCAUGGGCUUCUCCAUAGGCCUCUGCCUGUCGCAUGUCUUGUUCAUGGCUUCAUGGCUUCACCUAGAACAAAGGGAAGAUACGGUGGAGAAAGACGGCAACCACAUCUUUUUAUGACUAUUCUCUGAAGUGACAUUGAAACAGUUUUUGAUUGGCCAUAACUUGGGGACUUAUCCUUAGCCCCACAGUGUAUAUCUUAUUAAGAAUUUCUGCACAGGAUAGACAGAGAACGCUUCCAUAUAAAAUAAUAUGGCAACAUUGUAAAUUUCUCUUAAAAAAUUUAGCACAUACCUAACACAUAGCCAAGAAAAAUUUACCCAGGAAAAAAUGAAAACAUAACAGUACAAAGCCUUAUACACAUAUGCUUAUAACAAUUUUACUUACAGUGGCUAAAAAUUUUUUAAAAAUGAUAUGAAUGUCUUUCAACAGAUAGACAGUAGAGGAAGAUGUGGUAUAUCUGUUCAAUGGAGUACCACUCAGCAACACAAAAGAACAAGCUACCAUUAGACAAGACAACAAGGACGUGUCUCAGAAUCAUGUUGAAGUAUAUACAAAAGGCUACCCGCUCCAUAGAUCUAACUAUAUAGUUAGGAGAUACAUAAGCAUUUCAGGAACGA
rnacentral:sRNA from 1 species